rnacentral:lncRNA from 12 species
AUUAACACCAAAUAGAGCUUGCAAAACAAUACCAUAUUCCAAGUUGUGAUUUGAAGCUUUUUAACUUCAUCUGAUCACCCCUAUCUUACUUUAGCCCUUUUUCCUGGAUUAAGAGAAGCAGGACUGAUAUAACCAGUCACAUUUCAAAGCUUUCAUCCUCAACUGCUAUUAAUAUAGACGUGACUGCUG